UAACGAUGGUAAGUGUUGAUUAAAUAAAGUAUUCUAGUUUAUAACUUUUUAGUUUAUGUUUAGUAGAAAUUUAUAUGCAUAUCUUUAUCAUUUGAUAGUUUAUUUUAAGUUAAAACUUUACUUUUUUUAGCAUCAGACCAGAGAUUUGCACUAAUAUUGUCAGAAUUAGCCGCUUUAAGAGCAGAAUUAAACAAAGAAAGGAACUCUAAAGAUGCAUCAAGCUUACCAACUGAUCAGGGUUCUUCAGUCAUAUCAACACUUCCGGCUCAGGAAGUAGUCAACAACCUCUCUAGUUCAACAAGAUUUUCAUUUAACCAGUUCUUGCUUUGGCGUACUACGCAUCCUGGUCCGAAGACACGCAAAGCAUUUAAUGUUUGGGCCCGACAAGGUGGCAAAGACCUCCCCAACUUUCGAUGGGGAGGUAGAACUGGGAGCCGCAAGGGUCGCGGACAAGGUGGCCGAGGAGGUGGCGGUAAAGGGUCUUUUGUACUAGGGCGUUUGUAUUUUCAGCUCUAGUUUUUAUUUUAUGUGUAGUUUUAUACUUAUUUAUGUUGAUGUUGUUGCUUUAUAAUUUUAUAUAUGUAUUUUUUAUUUGAAGUAAAAAAGAACAACAUUUCUUAUUUAA
rnacentral:lncRNA from 1 species